rnacentral:tRNA from 1 species
UAUCGAAAUAAUUUAUUUUAGUACGAAAAGACCAAAUAAAGUUUACUAUUAA